rnacentral:ncRNA from 1 species
AAUUAAGCUACGAUAAGAAGAGUAGCGAUGUACGAUUUCCAGAGAGUCUCUGUUUGGUGAAAAGAGAUAGUCAAGCAUUGUGAAAAUGGUCUUUGAGCGUUAGUUAUCGAGGGAGAAAUCUUUAGAUACUACGGGUUCACCCGUUAUAGUGAUAGGUUAUCGAAAUUUUUCCGUAGCCGAUAAAGCGACUUGUUUAAAAGCAAGUAAUGAAGGUGGUACCGCGAUAAGGUAUUUUUAUCGUCCUUGAU